rnacentral:tRNA from 1 species
GGCUCGGUGGUUUAGCUGUCUAACUUCACGGUGCUCAGGAGUAGGCCCGAGACGCGGGUUCGAAUCCUGCCCAAGCCG